UUUUGGUUGGUUGCCUCCGAGUUAGGAAAAUUCUGGUUUAGGGUUGAUUCUGAACUUUUUAGUUUAGAGGAAGACUUUGGAAGAGUUAAGGUAAAAAUGGGGCUGACUUUCACAAAGCUGUUCACCAUUAUAUGAUUGAUGAGAAGCUUCUGAAAUUGAACAAGGAUGGCCUAAGAUUGAUGAGAAGGCGGAUAUGUACAGCUUAGGUGAAAGAGGAAGAAUUUGUGAAAUUGGUGCACCACAUGAACAUUUUUGGAAUUAGUUUGGUUGUAUUUUUUACUUAUUUUGGUUUUAUUUCUUGAUUCAGUUUGGA